UACGGAGGGUGCAAGCGUUAUCCGGAUUCACUGGGUUUAAAGGGUGCGUAGGCGGAUUCCUAAGUCAGGGGUGAAAUCCUGGAGCUCAACUCCAGAACUGCCUUUGAUACUGGGAAUCUCGAGUCCGGGAGAGGUGAGUGGAACUGCGAGUGUAGAGGUGAAAUUCGUAGAUAUUCGCAAGAACACCAGUGGCGAAGGCGGCUCACUGGCCCGGUACUGACGCUGAGGUGCGAAAGCGUGGGGAGCAAACAGG
rnacentral:rRNA from 1 species